rnacentral:rRNA from 1 species
UACAGAGGUGGCAAGCGUUGUUCGGAUUUAUUGGGCGUAAAGGGUUCGUAGGCGGACCGGAAAGUCAGAUGUAAAAUCCCACAGCUCAACUGUGGAACUGCAUUUGAAACUUCCGGACUAGAGUGUGAGAGGGGUAAAGGGAAUUCCCGGUGUAAGGGUGAAAUCUGCAGAGAUCGGGAGGAACACCAGUCGCGAAGGCGCUUUACUGGCUCACUACUGACGCUCAGGAACGAAAGCUAGGGUAGCAAACGGG